AUUGAACGCUGGCGGCAGGCCUAACACAUGCAAGUCGAGCGGAUGAAGGGAGCUUGCUCCUGGAUUCAGCGGCGGACGGGUGAGUAAUGCCUAGGAAUCUGCCUGGUAGUGGGGGAUAACGUCCGGAAACGGGCGCUAAUACCGCAUACGUCCUGAGGGAGAAAGUGGGGGAUCUUCGGACCUCUCGCUAUCAGAUGAGCCUAGGUCGGAUUAGCUAGUUGGUGGGGUAAAGGCCUACCAAGGCGACGAUCCGUAACUGGUCUGAGAGGAUGAUCAGUCACACUGGAACGGAGACACGGACAAGACUACUACGGGAGGCAGCAGUGGGGAAUAUUGGACAAUGGGCGAAAGCAUGAUCCAGCCAUGCCGCGUGUGUGAAGAAGGUCUUCGGAUUGUAAAGCACUUUAAGUUGGGAGGAAGGGCAGUAAGUUAAUACCUUGCUGUUUUGACGUUACCAACAGAAUAAGCACCGGCUAACUUCGUG
rnacentral:rRNA from 1 species